rnacentral:siRNA from 1 species
CUAGGAAGCCAUGCAAUUUCGC